rnacentral:misc_RNA from 1 species
GAGAUGCGAUAAGUAAUGUGAAUUGCAGAAUUCAGUGAAUCAUCGAAUCUUUGAACGCACAUUGCGCCCCCUGGUAUUCCGGGGGGCAUGCCUGUUCGAGCGUCAUUUCACCACUCAAGCCUCGCUUGGUAUUGGGCAACGCGGUCCGCCGCGUGCCUCAAAUCGACCGGCUGGGUCUUCUGUCCCCUAAGCGUUGUGGAAACUAUUCGCUAAAGGGUGUUCGGGAGGCUACGCCGUAAAACAACCCCAUUUCUAAGGUUGACCUCGGAUCAGGUAGGGAUACCCGCUGAACUUAAGC